AGAGCCGGCAGCACUGAGACGCGGGGCACUCGGGGUGGGCAGCCCGCAAGCGCGUGCUUGUGGGGCGGGGCCGCCUACGCGCGUGCGCAGAAAGUCCAGUGCGGUCCAGCGGAGAGCCGAAGGGAGAGGUGCGGUGCGGCGCGCCGAGGUGGGUGCGCGGCGGGGGCGUGGCGGCUGGACGCGGGGUGUGGGGGUGUCACUGCCACGGUGCGCUGACCGGCGGCACGGAUGUACUGAGGGAGGGGGGCACGGGUUGUGCUCCGUGUCUUGGUCGCUGCGGGUUAGGGGGCUCCAGAGUCUAAUGCUGCGUGCGUGACGUGGGCCCCGGAGUCAGAACCCUUUGGGCAGGCCCGGCUUUCCUCGAUCAUCCCUGCCUUCUCUGGGCUCUGUGUCGUGGGCAAGAACUGCCUCUGUGUCAACCUUCCCUUGGGGCACUUUCCGUCCCUGCGGAAUAGGAAAUCCUCUUUCUGUAUUCGUUCGAAAUUGCAGCAGUGUUCAUAUACCUUUGCCCUCGGAGACCUGCAACAACCCAGGCCCUUCACUUGCCAAAGAUGACACAACUGCCCACCUGAAGCUUAGGGACUUUCCCAGCCUGAGAGCCCUAUCCAGCCAGUGUCCCUGACAUGCCUUGGUCACCUGUGCCUUAGCUUGGCCCUGUGCUUCAGGAGUUUUGAAUAACAGCUGGAGGGCAGAGCUGGCACCACACGGGGUGGGCUGCACAUGACAGAAGUCAGUCUGCUGGGUGCUGGCAGCCUGACCACAGAUUUUCCUUGACAGACCUGACUCAGUUCAGAAAUAGUGCUCUGGCCUUCUUGGAUGGGGACUCACUGGGCUAACUUUAAAGGCCAAAGAUUGUCUAGCCCAGCCCGGACAUAUGCAGGCAUAGGUUGGCCAUUUGGGCGGUUGUGUUGCUGUCUUUCCAAGGUAAAUAAAGGAUUUUCCUUGUCUCACCAUGUUCUGCUGGAAGGUCAGCAAGCUACUCCCAGGCAGUUGGUACAACUGUCCCAUGGCAUGCGUUGCCAUGUCAUCUACUUGGGGACAAUGACUCCAUUCUCAUUUUCACACCCCUGUCCCCAAUAGGCACCUGUCAUUGUUCACUGAAUUGUUGUGGAGAUGGCUGUAUUUGUGUUCUCUCAAGCUCUAUCUGAUGUCAGUUCUGGGUUGGUGUCAAGACCAACCCAGACGACAAAUGGUUAAGAAAUUUCAAAUAUUUGAUAGUGACCAUUCAUAUUGAGUGCUAUGAGGGCUCUGUGUGCUUCCUUGAUGAUUAAUCCUCACCUAAUCUCCCCAGUACUCAGAUAAAGACUUAGGGUAGUGACAGCUGUAUUUAGAAUCUAGUCUGCGUGUGGAUAGGCCUGGAGCCACAUCGUGUUGUCCCUGUUCCCCCAUGGUCUGGCAUUCAGUUAGCCAGGCACUCUCUUAAGUGCUUGUUGGAGGGAAUAAAGAUGCCACUUUUUGAAUGCUACAUGUCAACUAGUGAACUAGCAAUGUAGUGGCUUUUGGCUGGAUUAAGGGUGACCUUUUGGGUUUGCAGAAGUACUCUAGUAAUCUAGGUAGGGUUUUCAUAACAACAAUCAAAUUUACCUCCCUGGGAGUGCAAACUCACCUGCCUGUGUUCCCUACUAGCUCUGAGUAACCACCCUUGCCAGGACUGUCUGGCAAGUCUCAGUGACCUUGGGCACACAGCAUUGCUCCUAAUCCUUAUUAGAGACUGAGCCAACCUCUGAAGACAUAGUAAAGUGUUUAAAGUACACAAGACAAUGAAGUGGGUUGU
rnacentral:lncRNA from 1 species